rnacentral:lncRNA from 1 species
AGCUUCUGCAGGACACAUGGGCUCUUUGGGCAUCACUUCAGGCAGUUGUGUUCUAGUGACUCCAGAUCAAGGGCUGGGCCCUGGAGCAUGAGUGAUAACGCUGACCUCUAAAUGGUUCUCACCAGGGAAAGGUGGGAAAAAACAAGGGUGGCCCAUGGAUAUUGUACCCACUCAGCCGCUGUGUCAGGAGACUGAGAAAUGGGAGUUUAAUUCUGAAAUGAAGGUUACAUUUUUGAAAGUGUCUCCAGUCUUUUUGUUCUUCUCCUGCCUCAAACCCUGGAGCCUCCUUCUUCU